rnacentral:rRNA from 1 species
CCGGUUGAUCCUGCCGGACCUCACUGCUAUCGGGGUGAGACUAAGCCAUGCGAGUCGAGCGUCUCCAGACCACGUUGGAGAAGCGGCGUACGGCUCAGUAAAAUAUGGCUAACCUACCCUCGAGACAGGGACAACCCCGGGAAACUGGGGCUGACCCCUGAUAGGAGAGAGAACCUGGAAUGGUUCCUCUCCCAAACAGAUUAGGGAACAUGUCUCCCUAAGCCGCUCGAGGAUGGGGCUAUAUCCGAUCAGGCUGUUGGUGAGGUAACGGCUCACCAAACCUUUGACCGGUACGGGCCGUGAGAGCGGUAGCCCGGAGAUGGAUCCUGAGACAAGGAUCCAGGCCCUACGGGGCGCAGCAGGCGCGAAACCUCCGCAAUGCGCGAAAGCGUGACGGGGUCACCCCGAGUGUCACCUGCUAAAGGUGACUUUUCACCGGUGUAAAUAGCCGGUGGAAUAAGGGGAGGGCAAGACUGGUGUCAGCCGCCGCGGUAAUACCAGCUCCCCGGGUGGUGAGGACGAUUAUUGGGCCUAAAGCGUCCGUAGCUGGCUCCUUAAGUUUACUGUCAAAUUCGACGAUCCAAUCGCCGAACCGCGGUAAAGACUGAGGAGCUAGGAGGCGGGAGAGGCCGACGGUACUCGCGGGGUAGGGGUGAAAUCCUUUGAUCCCCGGGAGGACCACCAGUGGCGAAGGCGGCCGGCCAGAACGCGCUCGACGGUGAGGGACGAAAGCUGGGGGAGCGAACCGGAUUAGAUACCCGGGUAGUCCCAGCUGUAAACGAUGUGGGCUAAGUGUCAGGAUGGCUUUAGGGCUAUUCUGGUGCUGCGGUGAAGACGUUAAGCCCACCGCCUGGGGAGUACGGCCGCAAGGCUGAAACUUAAAGGAAUUGGCGGGGGAGCACCACAAGGGGUGAAGCUUGCGGUUUAAUUGGAGUCAACGCCGGGAACCUUACCGGGGGUGACAGCAGAAUGAAGGCCAGAUUGAAGGUCUUGCCAGACCAGCUGAGAGGAGGUGCAUGGCCGUCGCCAGUUCGUGCCGUGAGGUAUCCCGUUAAGUCGGGCAACGAUCGAGACCCACACCCUUAAUUGCCAACGGAUCCUCCGGGAUGCCGGGCACCUUAAGGGGACCGCCGUCGAUAAGACGGAGGAAGGAGUGGGCCACGGCAGGUCAGUAUGCCCCGAAUCCCCCGGGCCACACGCGAGCUGCAAUGGUAGGGACAAUGGGCUCCGACCUCGAAAGAGGGAGGUAAUCCCGAAGCCCUACCCCAGUUGGGAUCGAGGGCUGAAACCCGUCCUCGUGAACAUGGAAUCCCUAGUAAUCGCGUGUCAUCAGCGCACGGUGAAUACGUCCCUGCUCCUUGCACACACCGCCCGUCGCUCCAACCGAGUCGGGCUUGGGUGAGGCGUGGUCCUGUUGGCCACGUCGAACUUAAGUUCAGCGAGGGGGGAGAAGUCGUAACAAGGUAACCGU